UUCGAGUGGCGGACGGGUGGAGUAACGCGUGGGUAACCUGCCUUACACAGGGGAGUAACACCUGGAAACAGGUGCUAAUACCGCAUAAGCGCACAGGGCCGCAUGGCCCGGUGUGAAAAACUCCGGUGGUGUAAGAUGGACCCGCGUCUGAUUAGCUUGUUGGCGGGGUAGAGGCCCACCAAGGCGACGAUCAGUAGCCGGCCUGAGAGGGUGGACGGCCACAUUGGGACUGAGACACGGCCCAAACUCCUACGGAAGGCAGCAG
rnacentral:rRNA from 1 species